UAACAAGGAUUCCCCUAGUAACUGCGAGUGAAGAGGGAAAAGCUCAAAUUUAAAAUCUGGCGGGCUCUGUCCGUCCGAGUUGUAAUCUGGAGAAGCGUUUUCCGCGUCGGACCGUGCAUAAGUCUCCUGGAACGGAGCGUCAUAGAGGGUGAGAAUCCCGUCCAUGGCACGGACCGCCGAUGCUUUGUGAUACGUUUUCAAAGAGUCGAGUUGUUUGGGAAUGCAGCUCAAAAUGGGUGGUAAAUUCCAUCUAAAGCUAAAUAUUGGCGAGAGACCGAUAGCGAACAAGUACCGUGAGGGAAAGAUGAAAAGCACUUUGGAAAGAGAGUUAAACAGUACGUGAAAUUGUUGAAAGGGAAACGCUUGAAGUCAGUCGCGUCCGACGGAACUCAGCCUUGCUUCGGCCUGGUGUACUUUCUGUCGGACGGGUCAACAUCAGUUUUGACCGGUGGAGAAAGGUAGGGGGAAUGUAGCGCUGUUUCGGCGGCGUGUUAUAGCCCCUUGCUGUAUGCAUCGGUUGGGACUGAGGACCGCAGCACGCCUUUUUGGCCGGGGGUUCGCCCCACGUACCGUGCUUAGGAUGUUGGCAUAAUGGCUUUAAGCGACCGGUCUUGAAACACGGACCAAGGAGUCCAACAUGCUUGCGAGUGUUCGGGUGGGAAACCCUUGCGCGUAAUGAAAGUAACAGUUGGGAACCUCCGCAAGGGGGUGCACCGACGCCCGGCCCUGAAGUUUUCUGACGGUGCUGCGGUAGAGCAAGUAUGCUGGGACCCGAAAGAUGGUGAACUAUGCCUGAAUAGGGCGAAGCCAGAGGAAACUCUGGUGGAGGCUCGUAGCGAUUCUGACGUGCAAAUCGAUCGUCAAAUUUGGG
rnacentral:rRNA from 1 species